ncrna:Sorghum bicolor (sorghum) type-P1 twister ribozyme
UUUUUAACUCCGCCUACGAUGGGCCAACUAUAGUGUCCUAUCGUAGCAGGUCCCAAGCCCUGGUAAAGGAGGAGGGUUGAAA